rnacentral:rRNA from 1 species
AUGGAUCAAAAUUCAACUUAUGUGCUGAAAAUCAAUUUGCUUGGCAGCCCAAAAAAGGCUAGAAAGGAUAUCAAAUGCUUCUGUUUUGAUAAGGUUAUUGAUUCCGACUUAACAAAUUAUAAGGACUUGGUUGAAUCAAUCGUAGAGCAGUACUCGCCUCGUUAUUUGGAAGUUGCACAUGUUCAGUAUUAUGAUGAUGUUCUUAAAAUCUACCCUGAAGUAACAUCUGACCAAGAAUUGGUGUCGAUGUUUGAGAAACACUCUAAGACAAAGGUUGUGCAUAUGUUUGUUGCGUAUUGUGAUCCAUCGGAACCAUAUGAGCCUAUAACGGAGUGGCAUAGUGAUGCGCAUAGCCAACCUAACAACAUAGAACAAGAUGAUGAUGAUGAUUAUCUUCGCAACCCAGUACCUGAGAAUGAGCAUGUUGGUGUUGAUGAGGAAAAUAUUUAUUUAGAGGAUGAACCUGUACCUCUUAUCAUGGUUCCUUGUUCCAACAAAGAAAAGGACAAAGACUAUGUUCCUGAUCAUGAGAGCGAGGCUGAGAGCGAGGUUGAGAGCGAGGAUGAGAGCAUGUUCGAGGUUGAAGUAGAGGAAGAUGAGGAAUAUCACGAGGCAGAUCAUGCACCACACAUUGAAUAUAAUAAAUUAGAUCCUCCAAUGAACGAAGGAAGAAAAUAUCCCAAUAUGGCAGAGUUUAAAUUGGCGCUUUCUCAGCAUGCAAUCAAACAUGAAUUUGAGUUUGAUACCGAAAAGAGUGCACCACAUAGGUUCAGAGCUUAUUGUUCAAGAAGGGAUGAAGAUAAGUGUCCAUGGAGGAUAUAUGCUUCUAUAAUGGAAGAUGAGUGCACAGUAAUGGUGAGAAAGAACCCUUGUGGUCAUGAUUGCUCUAGUACAAAAAGAAAAAAGAAGUUGAAGAAUGCAAACAAGCGGUGGAUAUGUGAGCACGUGAAGGACUGGUUAAUUGAGGAUGCAACUCUAGGACCAGAGGCAUUGCGAAAGAAGCUUAAAGAGCAUCAUGGAAUCGACAUCAACUCUAAGAGAGUCUAUAUGGAGGACCACCAAAGAAGAGGGCAAAGACCACCAAAGCAUCAAUUGUGCCUUGCGAGGAUGAUGCUCCAGCAGCCUCUAUGUGCUUUCCGCCAAGGUUAG